GAUGAACGCUGGCGGCGUGCCUAAUACAUGCAAGUCGAGCGAACGGACGAGAAGCUUGCUUCUCUGAUGUUAGCGGCGGACGGGUGAGUAACACGUGGAUAACCUACCUAUAAGACUGUGAUAACUUCGGGAAACCGGAGCUAAUACCGGAUAAUAUUUUGAACCGCAUGGUUCAAAAGUGAAAGACGGUCUUGCUGUCACUUAUAGAUGGAUCCGCGCUGCAUUAGCUAGUUGGUAAGGUAACGGCUUACCAAGGCAACGAUGCAUAGCCGACCUGAGAGGGUGAUCGGCCACACUGGAACUGAGACACGGUCCAGACUCCUACGGGAGGCAGCAGUAGGGAAUCUUCCGCAAUGGGCGAAAGCCUGACGGAGCAACGCCGCGUGAGUGAUGAAGGUCUUCGGAUCGUAAAACUCUGUUAUUAGGGAAGAACAUAUGUGUAAGUAACUGUGCACAUCUUGACGGUACCUAAUCAGAAAGCCACGGCUAACUACGUA
rnacentral:rRNA from 1 species